GACGAACGCGGCGGCGUGCCUAAUACAUGCAAGUAGAACGCUGAAGAGAGGAGCUUGCUCUUCUUGGAUGAGUUGCGAACGGGUGAGUAACGCGUAGGUAACCUGCCUGGUAGCGGGGGAUAACUAUUGGAAACGAUAGCUAAUACCGCAUAAUAUUGACUAUUGCAUGAUAGUUGAUUAAAAGGUGCAAUUGCACCACUACCAGAUGGACCUGCGUUGUAUUAGCUAGUUGGUGGGGUAACGGCUCACCAAGGCGACGAUACAUAGCCGACCUGAGAGGGUGAUCGGCCACACUGGGACUGAGACACGGCCCAGACUCCUACGGGAGGCAGCAGUAGGGAAUCUUCGGCAAUGGACGGAAGUCUGACCGAGCAACGCCGCGUGAGUGAAGAAGGUUUUCGGAUCGUAAAGCUCUGUUGUAAGAGAAGAACGAGUGUGAGAGUGGAAAGUUCACACUGUGACG
rnacentral:rRNA from 1 species